AUUGAACGCUGGCGGCAUGCUUUACACAUGCAAGCCGAACGGCAGCGCGGGCUUCGGCCUGGCGGCGAGUGGCGAACGGGUGAGUAAUGCAUCGGAACGUGCCCAGUAGUGGGGGAUAGCCCGGCGAAAGCCGGAUUAAUACCGCAUACGACCUGAGGGUGAAAGCGGGGGACCGAAAGGCCUCGCGCUAUUGGAGCGGCCGAUGUCGGAUUAGCUAGUUGGUGGGGUAAAGGCUUACCAAGGCGACGAUCCGUAGCUGGUCUGAGAGGACGACCAGCCACACUGGGACUGAGACACGGCCCAGACUCCUACGGGAGGCAGCAGUGGGGAAUUUUGGACAAUGGGGGCAACCCUGAUCCAGCCAUGCCGCGUGCGGGAAGAAGGCCUUCGGGUUGUAAAACGCUUUUGUUCGGGAAGAAAUCCUCUGGGCUAAUACCCCGGGGGGAUGACGGUACCGGAAGAAUAAGCACCGGCUAACUACGUG
rnacentral:rRNA from 1 species